AUGAACGCUGGCGGCGUGCCUAAUACAUGCAAGUCGAGCGAACAGACGAGGAGCUUGCUCCUCUGACGUUAGCGGCGGACGGGUGAGUAACACGUGGAUAACCUACCUAUAAGCCUGGGAUAACUUCGGGAAACCGGAGCUAAUACCGGAUAAUAUAUUGAACCGCAUGGUUCAAUAGUGAAAGACGGUUUUGCUGUCACUUAUAGAGGGAUCCGCGCCGCAUUAGCUAGUUGGUAAGGUAACGGCUUACCAAGGCAACGAUGCGUAGCCGACCUGAGAGGGUGAUCGGCCACACUGGAACUGAGACACGGUCCAGACUCCUACGGGAGGCAGCAGUAGGGAAUCUUCCGCAAUGGGCGAAAGCUUGACGGAGCAACGCCGCGUGAGUGAUGAAGGUCUUCGGAUCGUAAAACUCUGUUAUUAGGGAAGAACAAAUGUGUAAGUAACUAUGCACGUCUUGACGGUACCUAAUCAGAAAGCCACGGCUAACUACGUG
rnacentral:rRNA from 1 species